ACUAAUGUAUUUCUGGGGCUUUAGGAGCAAGUCUUCAGCAGUCUGUGAAGAGACUUUAAAGGCCAAGAGGAUUAGGACUAAGGAAAAACAGUUGGGCUAGACAUUGCUGGAAGGAGAUGUGACUGCAAUGGAAAGCAGAGACUAAAGUCUGCUUUUUACCCCAUGGCACAUUGAAAUGCAUUCCAAAGACAAUACACUUUGCUCUAAUUAAAACAUGGAAUUAUUUUUCUUCCUGAAGCAUUAUCACAGCCAUUGUGAUAUCUGCAACUUUUGCAGCUGAUGAACACUCCGAAGGAAAUGCUUAUAUUAGGUUAGAAGAUGUGAUUCUGAAAACUCCCCAAAUCUGAGAUAAACUCUCCCAGCCUAAAGGAACAUGUACAUCCUGGAUCCUGUAAUUAGAUGUGAGCUCAGUGCUUCCUCGUUCAAAAACACCUGAGAGCAGUGAAUCUCUCAUAACAUUCCAUGAAGAAGACUUCUAAGACUCACCUCACUCAAUAAUGACAUAAAAAUGAUUUGUAUGCAAUGUACACUACCCAAAAUAUUAAUCUGAGAAACUUACUUGUGCUGAUACGAUCAGACUUGCUGCUUUUGGGGGCUGGCCUUUCACACUGUGUGCCUGACCAGUUGGCGGAGCAUCUAAAAAUAUCCAAACAACAACAAAAUAGAUCAGUGAAUAACAAAGCCCACAAGUUUGCUAAUGUAGUAAUUUUAAUCAAAUGAAAUGUUAUAGGAGCCAGGCAUUACAAAUUGAUGAAAUUAGGUAGGAAUUUCUGCUAAUUUCUUGCAUAUUUUUAGUAUGCUGUGUGUAACUUUCAUUGGACUUUGUUAAAAUACUUUUUAAAAUUUAAGUUUAUAGUUAUUUUACUUAUUCUGCAUUAAACUUAAAAUUGACAUAUUUCAUAGCAGUAUUAAAAUCUUGAUGAAUUGGAACUUAAUUUGAGAGUUAUGGAAAAUUACAAGUGGCCACUUACAAAAAUUGAGUUUGCAUAUUAAACAAAUCCUUCUGUAAGUUUUUGUGAUUUGUUUUUCUGGUUGUUCUAAGUCCAAAGUGGAACUAAGUACCAAAAGGCCAAUAGUCGUCUGUCUCCUAGUUCAAGCUGUAGAAUUUUUACUCUCUUAACCAGAGAUAACAAAAUGCAGUGCUUUCCCAUUUUAAAUCGCACUUCUAUUAAUAUGAAGUCAAGAGAAUGUGCCCAAAUUUUUGUCGGGAGGAGUUGUUUUCCCAUAUAAGUACUACGACACUAUGAUAAGAAGUAGCAGAAGACAAGAAUAAUAGAUCUGAUUAAAAGUUAUUAUUUCAACAGAAAUUGCAACUAUGAAAUUAGCUAGUUGCAUCAAAAUAAAUGCUGGAACAGUUUUAGUUGUGUUUAAACAAUGUCUAUUGGCUAACAUAAGAUGCCUCUGUGCAUCUGUCAUAGGAAAUCCACAGAGAAACAAUUUAAUUGGCUUCAGUUCAUAGUUAAAAUGACUGUCAAAUACCAAUAUAUCAAGAAUAGUGUACACAAUAAAAAAAACAGCUUCCAGAACCAUUCUAAGUGAAUCUCUCUGAGCAUGGUGGGCCAAACUAAAUAACUGCAAUUUCAAUGUCUCUGCCAAUUCUUGGAUAGCCAAUUUUGAUAUCUGAUGAUUCUUCAGGAACUGAGCUUCUAUGAUGCCACACAAAUUAUUUGUGAUAGUGAUAAAAACAGUAUUGGCUGUCCUAAAUCAUGGGCAAAUUCUCACAAAAUCAUUAUUACUGACAAAGUCAAAUAAUAAAUAUAAAAAUAUGUUUCAAAUAAGCAUAUAUAAACUUGAACAUAAAUUGGCAAUGAGGUUACUGUUAGAUAAAAGAGUUAUUUAGUUAAUAAUGAUAAAUUUAAAACUAUGAUUAUGGAGCAUGAUUUAAAUGAAAAUUAAUAAAUUAUUAAUAUUAUAAAUCAGGUCAUGACUCGUGCAUUAGCCCAAUUUUUUGUUGUUACGUUAUAAAAAGCUUAAACAUUACAUAAUUUUCUAUACAUCAUGUUUAUUAUAAACCAUAAUGCAAGUAAAUUAUUAACAUAGAUAAAUACAUUUAAGGCUAAGUCUACAACACUGUAUACUAAAGUGAAGUAAUAAAAUGAGCACAUUUUCAAAUUAUUAGAAUAAAGUGAACAACAAAUGAAA